rnacentral:rRNA from 1 species
UAGCAUAUCAUAGCGGAGGAAAAAGAAACACAGGGAUUGCCCCAGUAACGGCGAGUGAAGCGGCAAGAGCUCAAAAUUUGAAAUCUGGCCUCCCUUGGGGGGUCCGAGUUGUAAUUUGUAGAGGAUGCUUCGGGUGUGGCCGCCGUCUAAGUUCCUUGGAACAGGACGUCGUAGAGGGUGAGAAUCCCGUCUUGGGCGGCCGGUCCGCGCCCGUGUGAAGCUCCUUCGACGAGUCGAGUUGUUUGGGAAUGCAGCUCUAAGCGGGUGGUAAAUUUCAUCUAAAGCUAAAUACUGGCCGGAGACCGAUAGCGCACAAGUAGAGUGAUCGAAAGGUUAAAAGCACCUUGAAAAGGGAGUUAAACAGCACGUGAAAUUGUUGAAAGGGAAGCGCUUGCGGCCAGACUCGAGGGGCGGGGUUCAGCGGGUGCGCGUCACCCGUGCACUCCCCGUCCCCCCGGGCCAGCAUCAGUUUCGACGGCCGGUCAAAGGCCCCCGGAAUGUGUCGUCUCUAGGGACGUCUUAUAGCCGGGGGUGCAAUGCGGCCCGCCGGGACUGAGGAACGCGCUCCGGCUCGGAUGCUGGCGUAAUGGCCGUAAGCGGCCCGUCUUGAAACACGGACCAAGGAGUCUAACAUCCACGCGAGUGUUCGGGUGUCAAACCCGUGCGCGCAGUGAAAGCGAACGGAGGUGGGAGCCCUAGGGCGCACCAUCGACCGAUCCUGAAGUCUUCGGAUGGAUUUGAGUAGGAGCGUGGCCGUUGGGACCCGAAAGAUGGUGAACUAUGCCUGAAUAGGGUGAAGCCAGAGGAAACUCUGGUGGAGGCUCGCAGCGGUUCUGACGUGCAAAUCGAUCGUCAAAUUUGGGCAUAGGGGCGAAAGACUAAUCGAACUAUCUAGUAGCUGGGUGCUGCGA